UGUUUUACAUAAAAGUUUACCAAACACUCUGCUGCUUUAUUUCACAGCUGCUUAUUCUUACAGCACAACAAAAACAACUUUUUUUUCAAAACACAGCAAUACCAAACCAAGCAUUAGUGUAAUUUACACUAUAUUUUUUUAGUGAAAUGGUCUAUCUUUUAAAAUAUUUAUCAAUAAAAUAAUGUACCUAUAAUUUUAUACCAUAAUCUAUCGUAUAAAAUUUGUGGAAUAAUAAUGUACCUAUUGUUUAAUUUUUACAACACUAAUGUAUCUUCAAAACUAAUUUACUUAUUGUUUAGUUUUAGCAAAAAUAAUUUACCUGAUGUACGUAUUGUUUAAUUUAAAAAAAAUAAUGUAUUUACAAAAAUAAUUUAUCUGUUGUUCAAAUUUUAAGAUAAAAAUUUACAUGUUCUGAUUUAACAACAAUGUUUCCGCAAUUUUAUUUUGCUUUAUAAUUUUAUAUGAAACUAAUUUACCUACUGUGACAAUAAUGUAUGUACAAUUUUAUAUAAAAAAAAUUUACCUUUUUUUUUCCAACAAUAAUGUAUCUACAAUUUUAUUUUGGGUAAAUUACAUAGCAACCCCUCAAGUUUGAGGUCUAUUACAUCCCAUACAACAUCUUUAAAACAUUUCACUUUCAUACCUCAAGUACUAUUUUAUUUCAAUAUAAUACAUCUGUUAGAUUUUCCAUCCAUUAAUCUAUUAAAUGCUAACGUGGCUACCAUAUUUGUGCCAUGUGGCUGCCAAAUGUGUGCCACAUGGCCAAAAAAAUUUUUUUAAUUUUUUUUAAACCUAAAUCUUCUAA
rnacentral:lncRNA from 1 species